AAGGAUAAUCGGAAAGCGACAGUGACUUAGAUGUCAGUUCGUGAAGUUCAAAGUUUUGUUUAGUUUUGAGUGUGAUACUGAAAUAGGUAUCAUGUUCAGAAGUGAUCCUAUGGGGAAUUAGCUCAGCUGGGAGAGCACCUGCUUUGCAAGCAGGGGGUCAGCGGUUCGAUCCCGCUAUUCUCCAUAGCUAGUCGCAAGGCUAGCAGGUUGCACAUUGAAAACUGAAUAGUAACAAAUUCUUUUAAAAACAAUCGUAAGAUUGUAAUAAAUGAACCGAGAAACAACACAAAAAAGUUCUUUAAUAAAGAACGGUUUAAUCGCAGGUCUGAAAAAUGACCAACUCAUAAACUUAAACAACAGUUUCGACUGUUA
rnacentral:tRNA from 1 species